GUAGGGAAUAUUGGGCAAUGGAGGCAACUCUGACCCAGCCAUGCCGCGUGCAGGAAGACGGUCCUCUGGAUUGUAAACUGCUUUUGAAUGGGAAGAAACGUAGCUUUGCGAAGCUAUUUGACGGUACUAUUAGAAUAAGCACCGGCUAACUCCGUGCCAGCAGCCGCGGUAAUACGGAGGGUGCAAGCGUUAUCCGGAUUUAUUGGGUUUAAAGGGUGCGUAGGCGGCUUUAUAAGUCUGGGGUUAAAGGCGGCAGCUUAACUGUACGCAUGCCCUGGAAACUGUGAAGCUUGAGUGACUUGGAGGUAGCUAGAAUUCCCUGUGUAGCGGUGAAAUGCAUAGAUACGGGGAGGAAUACCGAUUGCGAAGGCAUGUUACUACGAGUAAACUGACGCUGAGGCACGAAAGCGUGGGGAUCGAACAGGAUUAGAAACCCGGGUAGUCC
rnacentral:rRNA from 1 species